GUCCGGACCCUGAGAGCGCGGAGCUGCUCGGACCUGAUGGUCGCCGCGCGCCGCUGGGUGAAGCGGCCGCUUCCCCUUUUUCGGGGAUUCUGCUUCUUGGGCUUUCCUACAGUGUCUCGGUGGGGAUUGAGGUUCCAGUUCGCGGAAAAUGGUCCUGGCCUGGAUUUCGGGGCCCCUGGCACGUCGCACCGAGCGCUCCGGGAGGCAAAAGUGGGACCUUCCGCCCCUGAGCGCGGGCCCGCGGCCGCGGUGACCCAGGUCGGCCCCGGCUGGGCGGCCUCGCUCUGCGCCCCGCGGCGGGGCUGGCGCCCGACCUCCGUGUCGUCACGCUUAAUUAUCCUCGUCUUCUGCUUUCCCACGAGAUGGAGCGCCUUUCAAUUACCUUUUAAGUCCUAAUUGAACUUUUUUUUUUUUUUUUUUUUUUUUACCAAAAAGAUGCUACAUUUAAAGAAGAAAGGCCUAGAGUGAAAAUUCUUCGGCUUCCAGGCCCUCCCGCGGCAUGUUUUCCAUGAUGAUACAAUGUCUCCUGUUCCUCACACCAAACCUCAUGAAAACCCCAAACCGGGCUAGUCUUCAGUGUCUGCCCUGAGGAUAAUCAUCACGAGGGGACCACAAGCAGUGGUUUCCUGCCACUGCACCUGUCCGGGACUCAGCAACAACAUGAAGCAGCAGGAACCCUACCUGGGUGGCUGUGUUCCCUGUGUUUCAAUAGCGACACCGUGUGGCAGCAACUGUAAAAAAAAAGAAUGGCCUCUGCCACUGAGGGAGCAGAUUUUCUGGUUCUUUCAGCCUGGGUAAGCAUCACUGGGUGUUUUGGAGUUCUCACAGGAAGGAGAAUCCUUGAGAGAGAAGGAAAAGAAGGAUUGCAUCCAGAUGGACCAUGGCGCUACCUGAAAGGGAGCCUUUUCUUUUCUUCAAAAUGGAGAAGACAGAGGGGCACUCCUAACUGUCUGCCUUCUGGAAUGAUGUCACUCAACAGAGAAAAUCAGGAUAACCAGUUUUAGGGCUCACAAAGAUCCAGUGUGAAUGGCAAAGCAAACCAAACUACAUGCCUACCUAAUUACCACAUAAUUUCUCUGCAGCAGGGGCCUUAGAGUAGAAACUAAAAGCUUGGCCUUUGCUUCAGACUUACCUGGGCUUAAACCGACUUCUGCCACUUACUGUGUUUGACUUUGGAGAAGUUAUGUAAACUCUGGGACACACCUUUCUUAUCUGUAUAAUAUGAAGGAAACAACACACCUCAUAGAAUGAUUUUAAGAAUUUAAUGCAUGAAUCUAUAUCAAAUGCUUAGCCCAGUACUGGAUUCAGUCAACUGACAUUUGCUGUAUGCUGUUGGUUUUUUACCUUUUUAUGAUGUCUUGCUGCUUACCUUGCUCUAAGCCUCCUUUACUUUCAUUAAUUCAGUAUUAUUUCCAUAAGGUAGUAACCAGAUCUUAAUUUCUGCCUUAUUUCUUCUCUUUUGACUUUACAUCUAUAUUUCUGAAAUACACUUCAGUAUUAAGUUAUAUUUUUCUUGGGUUUGGUUUGGUUUUGUUGAAUAAAUAGCUAUUGCUUGAGACUUUCCGGUACAACUAUAAUGUACAGAUCACACAGCUAAACAACUAUAGAGGCCAGAUGGGAUUAUAAGUGAUUAAAGCAGACAAGAUGAAAAAAAUAAGCAGGGCCUCAUGUGAGAACACAUGCUCUCUUUAUAGAAAGGAUUUGGUAGAGUCAGUCUCUACCGGCCGUUGGCAGGUAGAGAGGCAAGAAAUACAGUUUUAUAACAUGGAACUCUCGAAUCUUAAACAUAGACCAGUACUACAAAUUUUUGAAAACAUCUUGGGCCAAUCAAAACACGUUUGUGGGUGAGAGUCAGGCCUUGUCAGUUUGCAACUUCUAAGCCAUCUUCCUGGGUAAAUACAACUUUGGAUGAAGGCCACCUAGUGGUAAAAAUGAUAAUUAAGAGACAGUAAGUAACUUUUACACAGGGUUUAUAGUUUAUUAUUAUAAUGCUAAGUAUACAUGGUAUUGGUGUCCUCUGAUCUUUUCCUAAAUAAUUACCCAUGGAUGCUUGUGGAGUCAGUUAGUUUUAGGAAUCUCUUUUAUCACAAGCUGUGAUAUCGUAAAGGUGGCUGGCUAAACACUGCCCCAGAAUUGUAAGCCAGUAAGAUCACUUACAUUCCAUCAUAUGCGUCUUGGGGAUUCUAGUCUUAUAAACUCUGCUGUCUGAAAUCACUCUCUAAGCCUAUGUCCUAAUUUUUACUUUGUCUAGAACUGGUAUGAGGUGGGAAUGAGGGAAAAGGGAAGAAAUGAUGAGUUAAUGAUGAGGAAGAGGGUAAAAAUUCAGGCUAUCUACCAUUUUUGCUAGUCCCUUUUCCUCUAUUUUUACUGAAUACCUAUUCCAAAUUCUGAGAUUAAUUUUUCUUAUAAAACCAUGAUAUCUUAAUUUAUUUCUUUGUAUCUUAAAAUAUUCCUUAGUAUAUAUGUUAGGCCCAUAAUGAUGACUUUUCAAUAGACCAAAGGUCACAAACUAUGGCCCAUUGGCCAAAUAUGACCUAUCACAUGUUUUUGUAAAAAAUAAAAGUCUUACUGGAACACA